rnacentral:rRNA from 1 species
UACGUAGGGUGCAGGCGUUAAUCGGAAUUACUGGGCGUAAAGCGUGCGCAGGCGGUUUGCUAAGACAGGUGUGAAAUCCCCGGGCUUAACCUGGGAACUGCGCUUGUAACUGGCAAGCUUGAGUGUGGCAGAGGGGGGUGGAAUUCCACGUGUAGCAGUGAAAUGCGUAGAGAUGUGGAGGAACACCGAUGGCGAAGGCAGCCCCCUGGGCUAACACUGACGCUGAGAGACGAAAGCUAGGGGAGCGAAUGGG